UACGAGGGGAGCAAGCGUUAUUCGGAAUCACUGGGCGUAAAGCGCGUGUAGGCGGCUUACUAAGUCAGCUGUUAAAUACCUCGGCUCAACUGAGGAUCAGCGGUCGAUACUGGUAGGCUAGAGUGCAGAAGAGAGAAGUGGAAUUAUCGGAGUAGCGGUAAAAUGCGUAGAUCUCGAUAGGGACACCGAUUGCGAAGGCAGCUUCUUGGUCUGUGUCUGACGCUAAGACGCGAAAGCGUGGGGAGCAAACAGG
rnacentral:rRNA from 1 species